AUGCUCACUACGGCAUCACAUAUAUUAAAAUUGGAAUGAUACAGAGAAGAUUAACAAGGCCCCUGUUCAAGGAUGACACACAAAUUCAUGAAGCAUUCCAUAUUUUU
ensembl:snRNA U6 U6 spliceosomal RNA